rnacentral:rRNA from 1 species
AUUGAACGCUGGCGGCAUGCCUUACACAUGCAAGUCGAACGGCAGCACGGGUGUUUGCACCUGGUGGCGAGUGGCGAACGGGUGAGUAAUACAUCGGAACGUACCUUAUCGUGGGGGAUAACGCAGCGAAAGUUGCGCUAAUACCGCAUACGCCCUGAGGGGGAAAGCGGGGGACCGUAAGGCCUCGCGCGAUUAGAGCGGCCGAUGUCUGAUUAGCUUGUUGGUGAGGUAAAAGCUCACCAAGGCGAUGAUCAGUAGCUGGUCUGAGAGGACGAUCAGCCACACUGGGACUGAGACACGGCCCAGACUCCUACGGGAGGCAGCAGUGGGGAAUUUUGGACAAUGGGGGCAACCCUGAUCCAGCAAUGCCGCGUGAGUGAAGAAGGCCUUCGGGUUGUAAAGCUCUUUUGUCAGGGAAGAAACAGCAGCUCUAACACAGUCUGCGAAUGACGGUACCUGAAGAGUAAGCACCGGCUAACUACGUGCCAGCAGCCGCGGUAA